rnacentral:rRNA from 1 species
AUACGUAGGGGGCAAGCGUUAUCCGGAAUCAUUGGGCGUAAAGAGCUCGUAGGCGGUUCAGCAAGUCGGCUGUGAAAGUUCAAGGCUCAACCUUGAAAAUGCAGUCGAUACUGCUGUGACUAGAGUCUGGUAGAGGAGAAUGGAAUUCUCGGUGUAGCGGUGGAAUGCGCAGAUAUCGAGAGGAACACCAGUAGCGAAGGCGGUUCUCUGGGCCUCGACUGACGCUGAGGAGCGAAAGCAUGGGUAGCAAACAGGAUUAGAUACCCUGGUAGUCCAUGCCGUAAACGUUGGAUACUAGGUGUGGCGUUCUAUCAACGAAUGCCGUGCCGAAGCUAACGCAUUAAGUAUCCCGCCUGGGGAGUACGGCCGCAAGGCUAAAACUCAAAGGAAUUGACGGGUCCCCGCACAAGCGGCGGAGCAUGCGGCUUAAUUCGAUGCAACCCGAAGAACCUUACCUGGGUUUGACAUCACGGGAAAAGCUGUAGAAAUACAGUGUCCGUAAGGGCCC